CAGGUUAAUAAGAGUGACACUGUUGUGGGUGUGUGCUAUUGGCCACCUGAGCACCAGGAGGAAGUGUGUGAGUCCUUCAACAGGCAGCUUGAAGGAUCCUCAAGGAAGCAAAAAGAGUCCAGGAGGUUCCUGGAAAGCUUGAUGAUAACAUUUUGACACAGGCUCAAUGAUGCAUCCAGAUGAACAAGAAAAUGGGUAAAUGGGGCAACGUUCAACCCAUAUGGAUGAACUACUCAAGUAUAAGCAGGAAAUACACAGGAGGCUGAACAAGAUCAAACCAUGUAGAAUGAACAUAGAGAGGUUAGAGUAAGUAGGAAUGAGACAAGGAAGGCCAAAGGCUACCUGCAAUUAAAUCUGGUGAAGGAUGUCAAGGACAAGAAGAAGGUCUUCUUUAAAUACAUCA